GUGUCAGCAGCCGCGGUAAUACGGAGGGUGCAAGCGUUAUCCGGAUUCACUGGGUUUAAAGGGUGCGUAGGCGGGUAGGUAAGUCAGUGGUGAAAUCCUGGAGCUCGACUCCAGAACUGCCAUUGAUACUAUUUAUCUUGAAUAUUGUGGAGGUAAGCGGAAUAUGUCAUGUAGCGGUGAAAUGCUUAGAUAUGACAUAGAACACCCAUUGCGAAGGCAGCUUACUACGCAUAUAUUGUCGCUGAGGCACGAAAGCGUGGGGAUCAAACAGGAUUAGAAACCCCGGUGUCC
rnacentral:rRNA from 1 species